CGAAUGAGCGUCACAAUAUUAUUUACCUGUCAGAAAAGAGAAUACAUGUGAUUCGAACGAGUGAUGUCGUACGACGAGUGAGGGAGAUUGGAAGAUAUUGGGCUUGAAAUAGGUGACGAAAGCGACUAAGCGUCUAUACCUACAAGUAUCCACAGCGUAUUGUUCAUUGAUAGUGUUAAUUGCAUUGAUGACGCCACCAACAGAAAGAAAGCGGUAACGAGCAAAGCGAGAACAAAGAUGCACACGGAUAAAGAGCAGUUAAGUGUAGGGGAUCAAACUACGCAGAUUAAUUGCAUUACUUGUGAAGAUUGUGGUUUGGGAGUAACUAGCUUUGUUGGUGUAGAAAUUGGAAUGUUUUGUCUAUGCAAUUCUCUAAAUUUAAUGCCAUUAAAUUAAUCUUUGUAUUGUAUGUUAGUGUAGCAAGAUUUGCCAGGAAGAAGAAAAAACUUUGCCUAUUUGCUUCGCUCAUAAAAUAUUCCUUACUUGAGAGGACUUAUUAUAAAAGUGUAUUCUUACCAAUAUUGGAAGCCAGCUUAUGUAAUACAGAAUAAUCACAACCGCCA